GGGGCAGUAGUUCAGAUGGGAGAACGCUUCCUUCGCAAGGAAGAGGUCACGGGUUCGAAUCCCGUCUGCUCCACUA
rnacentral:tRNA from 1 species